UGAGGAAUAUUGGGCAAUGCCCGCAAGGGUGACCCAGCAACGCCGCGUGGAGGAUGAAUGUCGUAAGAUUGUAAACUCCUGUUAGAGGGGAAGAAUAGUACCGGUUGGACCGGUAUAUGACUGUACCCUCAGAGAAAGCCCCGGCUAACUACGUGCCAGCAGCCGCGGUAAUACGUAGGGGGCAAGCGUUGUCCGGAUUCACUGGGUUUAAAGGGUGCGUAGGUGGGCAGAUAAGUCAGUGGUGAAAUCUUCCGGCUUAACCGGGAAACUGCCGUUGAUACUAUUUGUCUUGAAUAUUGCGGAGGUAAGCGGAAUAUGUCAUGUAGCGGUGAAAUGCUUAGAUAUGACAUAGAACACCAAUUGCGAAGGCAGCUUACUACACAAUCAUUGACACUGAGGCACGAAAGCGUGGGUAGCGAACA
rnacentral:rRNA from 1 species